CUCCAGACCAGCUGAGGGACUAGAGAAGGUCCUACCUAGUCCCGCGAUUGGCAGUUUGGCUGGCCCCUCAAAUUUGAUUUUGCCUAAAAUCAUACAAGAUAAACUAGCCCUUCUCAAGAAGCCCUUCCCUCAAAACAACAGAAACAGCAUUGGAAAAAGAAGUUGGAAUUAACCAGUAUGUGCUCUUUCAUAGUAAGACAAUCCUCAUCUUCUGAUCUCUCAAUAGUUGGAUAUUUAUUAUCUCAAGAAAGUCGUCAAAGUAUCAGAAAAAGAAAGAAGUAUGUUAAUGAGGCAUUAUAAUGAUAUUAUGUAGAAAUUUAAGUCUUGUAAAAAUUUGGAAA